GGAUUGUGGCUUAGUGGUAGAUCGCUUGCCUAGUACAUGUGAGGCCCUGGGUUCAAUCCUCAGCACCA
rnacentral:tRNA from 1 species